rnacentral:rRNA from 1 species
GACGAACGCUGGCGGCGUGCCUAAUACAUGCAAGUAGGACGCAGUUGCGAACGGGUGAGUAACGCGUAGGUAACUACCUAUUAGAGGGGUAUAACUAUUGGAAACGAUAGCUAAUACCGCAUACUAGUAGAUGGACCUGCGUUGUAUUCGGUAGUAGGUAGGGUAAUGGCCUACCUAGGCAACGAUACAUAGCAGUGCGUAGAGGGUGAUCGGCCACACUGGGACUUGGUAACUGCCCAGACCCCUACGGGAGGCAGCAGUAGGGAAUCUUCGGCAAUGGGGGGAACCCUGACCGAGCAACGCCGCGGGAUUGCAGAAGGUUUUCGGAUCGUAAAGCUCUGUUGUUAAGGAAGCGGUACUUAAACAGAAAGGGACGGCUAACUACGUGCCAGCAGCCGCGGUAAUAC